rnacentral:rRNA from 1 species
UACGUAGGGUGCAAGCGUUAAUCGGAAUUACUGGGCGUAAAGCGUGCGCAGGCGGCUUUGCAAGACAGAUGUGAAAUCCCCGGGCUCAACCUGGGAACUGCAUUUGUGACUGCAAGGCUAGAGUACGGUAGAGGGGGAUGGAAUUCCACGUGUAGCAGUGAAAUGCGUAGAGAUGUGGAGGAACACCGAUGGCGAAGGCAGCCCCUGGGUCAAGACUGACGCUCAUGCACGAAAGCGUGGGGAGCAAAC